GGCUCAAUGGUGCAGUGGUGGACGCCUGCAAAAAUAUUCUGGAUACCACUGGUUGCCGAUGCAGGAAGCGCCCGGUCGACUCGGGCUUGAACCA